UUGAAUAAACUUGAACAGGUUGUUGCUGGCCUUUGAGGUAUGUGCACACUUGCUACAUUUUUAUUAUUUCUCCAACUUGUGCAUUAUAUUGGGACUGCUGUGCUUUUGUUUAGUUCGGCUUUCCCUUUUUAUUGAUACACUCUUAAAAUAUUGAAUGAAAGAAAAGAAAAUAUAUA
rnacentral:misc_RNA from 1 species